UAUGUAGGGCGCGAGCGUUAUCCGGAAUUAUUGGGCGUAAAGAGCUCGUAGGCGGUUUGUCGCGUCUGCCGUGAAAGUCCGGGGCUCAACUCCGGAUCUGCGGUGGGUACGGGCAGACUAGAGUGAUGUAGGGGAGACUGGAAUUCCUGGUGUAGCGGUGAAAUGCGCAGAUAUCAGGAGGAACACCGAUGGCGAAGGCAGGUCUCUGGGCAUUAACUGACGCUGAGGAGCGAAAGCAUGGGGAGCGAACAGG
rnacentral:rRNA from 1 species